CAGCACCUCAAGUGGUCAGGAUGACUAUUGGGCCUAAAGCAUCCGUAGCCGGCGCUGUAAGUUUUCGGUUAAAUCUGUACGCUCAACGUACAGGCUGCCGGGAAUACUGCAGCGCUAGGGAGUGGGAGAGGUAGACGGUACUCGGUAGGAAGGGGUAAAAUCCUUUGAUCUAUUGAUGACCACCUGUGGCAAAGGCGGUCUACCAGAACACGUCCGACGGUGAGGGAUGAAAGCUGGGGGAGCAAACCGGAUUAGAUACCCGAGUAGUCC
rnacentral:rRNA from 1 species